AUUGAAACACCAGUUCUCGUAUGAUCACUGAAGUUAAGCAACAUUGAGUCUGGUUAGUACCUAGAUGGGUAACCCCUUGGAAAUGCCAGUUGUUGUAAU